rnacentral:rRNA from 1 species
GAGGAAUUUUCCGCAAUGGAGGCAACUCUGACGGAGCAACGCCGCGUGCAGGAGGACGGCCUUCGGGUUGUAAACUGCUUUUGCCAGGGAAGAGCAUGCACGGUACCUGGUGAAUAAGCCCCGGCUAACUACGUGCCAGCAGCCGCGGUAAUACGGGGGGAGCUAGCGUUGUUCGGAAUUACUGGGCGUAAAGCGCACGUAGGCGGCUAUUCAAGUCAGAGGUGAAAGCCCGGGGCUCAACCCCGGAACUGCCUUCGAAACUAGAUAGCUUGAAUCCAGGAGAGGUGAGUGGAAUUCCGAGUGUAGAGGUGAAAUUCGUAGAUAUUCGGAAGAACACCAGUGGCGAAGGCGGCUCACUGGACUGGUAUUGACGCUGAGGUGCGAAAGCGUGGGGAGCAAAC